AUUGAACGCUGGCGGCAGGCCUAACACAUGCAAGUCGAACGAGUGGCGGACGGGUGAGUAAUGUCUGGGAAACUGCCCGAUGGAGGGGGAUAACUACUGGAAACGGUAGCUAAUACCGCAUACCAUCGGAUGUGCCCAGAUGGGAUGAUCUAGUAGGUGGGGUAACGGCUCACCUAGGCUACGAUCCCUAGCUGGUCUGAGAGGCUGACCAGCCACACUGGAACGGAGACACGGUCCAGACUCCUACGGGAGGCAGCAGUGGGGAAUAUUGCGCAAUGGGCGAAAGCCUGAUGGAGCAAUGCCGCGUGUAUGAAGAAGGCUUUCGGGUUGUAAAGUACUGUCAGCGAGGAGGCGUUACUCGAAGAAGAAGCACCGGCUAACUCCGUGCCAGCAGCCGCGGUAAUUC
rnacentral:rRNA from 1 species